AGUCAGUCGUUCCAUUUCUGACAACACAAGAAGGUAGAAUAAAAAAGCUUCGAGAUGUUACAACAAUGAAUCACCUAUCUCAAACUCACAUAUUACAAUGUGGAACUGGAACUCUCUACAGAUUCAGAAGCGUGCACUACCCCGUUAUCUUCUUCGCGUAUAAAACAACUAUGUAUACUCUAUCGAAUGUGCGUUGAGGAUUUAUUCGGAUAUGCAUUGGUGCGAUCUGAACCAAUCGUUUGACAAUAACUUAACAAUUCGUCUCUCAAGCCUAUCGGAACCAGAACCAGGCCUUAGAAUGCCCGAGUCACCCCAGACGGACCAUGAGCUGCUGUUUUCACCAGAAUCUCCUAAACACCAACCACCAGGCAUAUUUUAUUUUUUUUGUUCCCGAUUUUCUCUCUCGUCGUUCUCUCGUCAAUCUCGUCUCUCUUGUUGCUUUUGAAAGUGAUAGGAUCUCCACAGAGAAAAGCAGAGAAUUGAAGGGUGAUUCGAUUGGAAAGUGGAUUUUCACCGACGGUAUCAUCAUCUCCACCGUUAGAGACGAGAUCGAUGAUCUCGGUUCAUCAAUCCGGCAGCCCUUUGUUUAACCAAAUCGGAUAUUUUAGUGGUUAAAUUUCCAACGGGGUGGUUCAAUGAGGCUAUGGCUCUCGUGUGGCAAAAAAAAAAACAAAAUUGAGGAAUUGGCAAAAAGGAUUCAAAACAUAAUGGAGUUUAACAAGCAGCAACAACAACAAGAACAAGUUUAAGUUUCUUCUUCUUUUAUGGAGGAGAAAACGGAUCCUUCCUACAUUUCUCAAGGGAGUGAAGAUGAUGAUGCCCUCCUCACUCACCCUGAUUUUGAUACACCUGAGGAGGUGGGCAAUGGAAAUUUCGAUCCAGCAAGCCUGGACGCUGAUUUAACUCAGUACAAAAAGAAGGCCACUAUUAUUGUUGAGGAAUACUUUGGCACCAAUGAUGUUGUCUCCGUUGCUAAUGAACUCAAGGAGCUCGGCAUGGCUGACUACCCAGAAAAUAUUUUUAAGAACCUCAAAUUUAACUAUGAAAUAUUAAAGUUUCAUAAGAAGUUCUUAAUUUCACUUUUUCAAAAUUAAGAAUAAAAUUUGUUUUAAAAUACUUUCGUUACAUUACAUGCUCUUAGACCUUCUUUAUCGGGACCUCUUAGGUAUAAUUCUUAGGUUUUAUCAGAUUAAAAUUAAAUCAAAAAUCAUUAUAUUGUUAAGAAGUACCUCUUAAUUAAGAGGUUUGAGAGCAUCUAAGUGCUGUCGACGUGUUCAAAAACUGUUGGAUGAAAAAAGAGAAAAAAAAGUUGUCCACUAUUUUCUCUUUCUCCUCUUUCUCUCUUUGUCUCCGAAGAAAUUGAAAAAUGAGAAGAGAUAUCUCUGUAAAAUCGAUUCCAAGCUCGGUAUGAGUGAUUCAAUUUCUUGUGACCUCUGGCGAUGCAUAUAGUUUCAGAACGAAGGGGGAGGAGCUUGAGACAGAGACGCUUAGCAGGAGAAGAUGAAGGAGUUCAGACCUAACAUGCUCUUGUCAAGAUGCUGCCUUCUGGAUGGAUGUAUCGGUUUAUUAGAAUCCAGAUUGAAGUGGGGAGGACCUUUAACUGUGCAACAGCUUAUUGCUAGUGGAACACCAUUGCUUCUUAUCAAUCUGUUAGCUGGCAAACUUUCAAAUGCUUCCCCAGAUGACAUCAAGAAAACACCCAACUGGAUUGGCUUGUCGCCCGUUGGUGUUAUAUGGGCUAUUUCGUCCAUAUGCCACUGUCUUUCAGCUCUUGUCAAGAAGGUGUGUUGGAUCCUAACAGAAUGAGAAAAUUACUCAACGGUUCGAGUCCAAAAGAAGUCAUACUUGAUAUUUUGAUGAUCCUGAUCUAUCGAGGAUGGAUAAGGGUUUCUAUACAUACAUCGGCGAGGCUUCUGUUAUGCAGCCUUUAAAAGAAUUUCUUACUCAUUCAGAUCAAAAUAUACGCGCAAAAGCUUGUAGUGCUCUUGGUAACAUGUGCAGACACAAUGGAUAUUUCUACAGCUCUCUGGUUUAAGAUGGUUUUGUACUUCUUUACAAGGAUCAUCACCAAUUCUCGGAGCUACCAAUUACCGGCGCAGUCUGUCUCCAUUACAUGCAGAAGUUGAAGCUUUUAUCUAGGCAAUGCGGUGCAUGAUUGGGUACGAUUUCUGAGAUGUGAUUUUUUUAACAGACAGUUUAGAUUUGGUGAAGAUGGUGUCUUCCCUCACGACUGGCCGACCUUCGCAACAUACUUAGACGACAUCAAGAUUGACAUGGAGGAGUUUUCUUCUUUUUCUUUGAUUCACGUUUCUUGAAAUGCAAAUGUAAAAGCGGAUUCUUUGGCACACCAAGCGCGUACAUCUCUGCAUCAUGUUUUGUAAACAAUUUUCCACCUAAUUGGCUCAUGAGCUGAUCUUUUAUUAACAAAAAAAAAACAUAAAUUCUUGUUCAUGUAAAUUAGUUAUACAUUUAAAAGUGAAAGCUUUAACUAUAGAUUUGACUAGUGUUCAUGUGAGAGUAGUAAAUUGUAACUGCACUUGGUUCAGUAUAACAGAACUAAAAAGCCAAUAUCAUUUGCUUUAAAAAAAAUACCAAUUCAUUCAAUGUCAUUUGCAUAAAAAACUUAAAGACAUACCAAUUCAUUUGGACUCAUGAUCAAUUGACAUGCCCCGCCUGUAAAUAUAAGAAUGAACAACCCUCAGAGUAUAUAAGAAGGAUAAUGAUAUAUAUGUUGGUAACCACACUAUGCUUCUCUUUAGGUCUGUUCCUCUCUCCCUUCUCCACUAGCUUAUAUCACUUAAGUGAUAUAUGUACACAAACAAAAUAAACCCACUUAAGUGAUUUUGCAGGUUUAGGAUGGUUUUGUACUUCUUUACAAGGAUCAUCACCAAUUCUUGGAGCUACCAAUUAUCGGCGCAAUCUGUCUCUGUUACAUGCAGAAGUUGAAGCUUUUAUCUAGGCAAUGCGGUGUAUGAUUGGGUACGAUUUCUGAGAUGUGAUUUUUUUAACAGACAGUUUAGAUUUGGUGAAGAUAGUGUCUUCCCCUCACGACUGGCCGGCCUUUGCAACAUACUUAGACGACAUCAAGAUUGACAGGGAGGAGUUUUCUUCUUUUUCUUUGAUUCAUGUUUCUCGAAAUGCAAAUGUAAAAGCGGAUUCUUUGGCACACCAAGCGCGUACAUCUCUGCAUCAUGUUUUGUUUGUAAACAAUUUUCCACCUAAUUGGCUCAUAUGAGCUGAUCUUUUGUUAACAAAAAAAACAUACAUUCUUGUUCAUGUAAAUUAGUUAUACAUUUAAAAGUGAAAGCUUUAACUA